rnacentral:rRNA from 1 species
UACAGAGGGGGCGAGCGUUGUUCGGAAUUACUGGGCGUAAAGGGCGCGUAGGCGGCCCGCUAAGUCGAACGUGAAAUCCCCAGGCUCAACCUGGGAACUGCGUCCGAUACUGGCAGGCUUGAAUCCGGGAGAGGGAUGUGGAAUUCCAGGUGUAGCGGUGAAAUGCGUAGAUAUCUGGAGGAACACCGGUGGCGAAGGCGGCAUCCUGGACCGGUAUUGACACUGAGGCGCGAAAGCUAGGGGAGCGAACGGG